GGCGCCGGUGGCGGGCCUGGCGCUGCGCCGGUUCGGGGCCCGCCGCACCGCGCUGGCCGGUACGGGGCUGGUCGUCGCCG
rnacentral:tRNA from 1 species